GAUGAACGCUGGCGGCGUGCCUAAUACAUGCAAGUCGAGCGAACAGACGAGGAGCUUGCUCCUCUGACGUUAGCGGCGGACGGGUGAGUAACACGUGGAUAACCUACCUAUAAGACUGGGAUAACUUCGGGAAACCGGAGCUAAUACCGGAUAAUAUAUUGAACCGCAUGGUUCAAUAGUGAAAGACGGUUUUGCUGUCACUUAUAGAUGGAUCCGCGCCGCAUUAGCUAGUUGGUAAGGUAACGGCUUACCAAGGCAACGAUGCGUAGCCGACCUGAGAGGGGGACCGGCCCCAGGGGAACUGGACAGCGGUCCAAGUCCCUAGGGGGGGCGGAGUGGGGGAAAUCUCCGAAAGGGGGGAAGUCUUACGGGGGAAACCCGCGGGGGGUGAAAAAGGUUUUCGGUCUGAAAAACCUUUUUUUGGGGAAAAAAAAAAGUUGUAGGUAACUAUGCGGGUUUGGCGGUAACCAAUCAAGAAGCCCCGGGUAACUCCGGG
rnacentral:rRNA from 1 species